UACGUAGGGUGCGAGCGUUAAUCGGAAUUACUGGGCGUAAAGGGUGCGUAGGCGGCCUUGUAAGUCAGUGGUGAAAUCUCCUCGCUUAACGAGGAAACUGCCAUUGAUACUGCAGGGCUUGAGUACAGUUGCUGUGGGCGGAAUAUGACAUGUAGUGGUGAAAUACAUAGAGAUGUCAUAGAACACCGAUUGCGAAGGCAGCUCACAAAACUGUAACUGACGCUGAGGCACGAAAGUGCGGGGAUCAAACAGG
rnacentral:rRNA from 1 species